rnacentral:rRNA from 1 species
UGGGGAAUAUUGCACAAUGGGGGAAACCCUGAUGCAGCAACGCCGCGUGAGUGAUGAAGGUCUUCGGAUUGUAAAGCUCUGUCUUUAGGGACGAUAAUGACGGUACCUAAGGAGGAAGCCACGGCUAACUACGUGCCAGCAGCCGCGGUAAUACGUAGGUGGCAAGCGUUAUCCGGAUUUACUGGGCGUAAAGGGAGCGUAGGCGGAUAUUUAAGUGGGAUGUGAAAUACCCGAGCUUAACUUGGGAGCUGCAUUCCAAACUGGAUAUCUAGAGUGCAGGAGAGGAGAAUGGAAUUCCUAGUGUAGCGGUGAAAUGCGUAGAGAUUAGGAAGAACACCAGUGGCGAAGGCGAUUCUCUGGACUGUAACUGACGCUGAGGCUCGAAAGCGUGGGGAGCAAACA